GACGAACGCUGGCGGCGUGCCUAAUACAUGCAAGUCGAACGCUGAAGCGAGGAGCUUGCUCUUCUUGGAUGAGUUGCGAACGGGUGAGUAACGCGUAGGUAACCUGCCUUGUAGCGGGGGAUAACUAUUGGAAACGAUAGCUCAUACCGCAUAACAAUGGAUGACACAUGUCAUUUAUUUGAAAGGGGCAAUUGCUCCACUACAAGAUGGACCUGCGUUGUAUUAGCUAGUAGGUGAGGUAAUGGCUCACCUAGGCGACGAUACAUAGCCGACCUGAGAGGGUGAACGGCCAAAAUGGGAAUGAGAAAACGGUCAGGCUCCUAAGGGGAGCAGCAGGAGGGAAACUUUGGAAAAGGGGGGAAAGCUUGACGAACAACGGCGCGUGGGGGGAGAAGAGUUUCGGGUCGUAAAAGUACGUUGUGAGGGAAGGAAGGGUAGGAGGGUGAAAAGUUCACGUUGUGACGUUAGCAUAACAGAAAGGGACGGCUAACUACGUG
rnacentral:rRNA from 1 species